rnacentral:rRNA from 1 species
AUGGUGUGUGUGAAACCAGUCAAAUAUUCUGUCAAAUUCAAUGGACAAUUGCUUGAGAAUUUCAUCCCCUCUGGAGGGCUAAGGAAAGGUGACCCAUUUCUUUUUGUCGCUGACGCCCUGUCUGCUCUCAUCUCAAAAUCAGUUGAUGAAGGUUCUCUAAAGGGGGUGGCUAUUUGCCGUGGUGCACCAGUUAUUUCUCACCUGUUAUUUGCGGAUGAUACUAUGCUGCUGUUUGAAUCGUCUGGCCAGCAGGCGAGCAUUGUUAAGGGGUUGUUGAAAACUUAUACCUCAGCGACGGGUCAACUCAUUAACCCAGAGAAGUGUUCCAUCCUUUUUCUCAGACAAUUGCUCUGA